UCUUCAAGGACUUGAAAGACUUUAGCACCAAAAAUGUAACAGUGGUAUUGAAUGUGUAUACUGCAGAAUAUUACAGAGAGAAAAAAACAAAAAACAAAU